AGGCCUCCUACCCUUGGUUGCUUUUUGUGAAUUUUAAUGGCAUGAUUCAUGUGGUUACAUUUUGAUUUGGGGGCAACUCUUGAUUACCCUAUCCUGUUUGCUCUAACCUGUUUUGUGUUUGUUAUGGCAUUGUUUUCUCCUAAUUCCGUCAUAUUACUCUAACCUGUUUGUUGAGUUUUUGUGAGGGCUCACAUACUCUUGCAGGGAUAGCUUGCUUGGUGUUCCACUUUAUUUGUGGGGUACCACCU
rnacentral:lncRNA from 1 species